rnacentral:rRNA from 1 species
CAGCCGCCACGGGAAUACGGAGGGAGCUAGCGUUGUUCGGAAUUACUGGGCGUAAAGCGCGCGUAGGCGGUUACUCAAGUCAGAGGUGAAAGCCCGGGGCUCAACCCCGGAACUGCCUUUGAAACUAGGUGACUAGAAUCUUGGAGAGGUCAGUGGAAUUCCGAGUGUAGAGGUGAAAUUCGUAGAUAUUCGGAAGAACACCAGUGGCGAAGGCGACUGACUGGACAAGUAUUGACGCUGAGGUGCGAAAGCGUGGGGAGCAAACAGGAUUAGAUACCCCUGUAGUCCCUGUCUCUUAUAC